rnacentral:rRNA from 1 species
CCUACGGGAGGCAGCAGUAGGGAAUCUUCCACAAUGGACGAAAGUCUGAUGGAGCAACGCCGCGUGAGCGAUGAAGGCCUUCGGGUCGUAAAGCUCUGUUGUUAGGGAAGAACAAGUACCGGAGUAACUGCCGGUACCUUGACGGUACCUAACCAGAAAGUCACGGCUAACUACGUGCCAGCAGCCGCGGUAAUACGUAGGUGGCAAGCGUUGUCCGGAAUUAUUGGGCGUAAAGCGCGCGCAGGCGGUCCUUUAAGUCUGAUGUGAAAGCCCACGGCUCAACCGUGGAGGGUCAUUGGAAACUGGGGGACUUGAGUGCAGAAGAGGAAAGCGGAAUUCCACGUGUAGCGGUGAAAUGCGUAGAGAUGUGGAGGAACACCAGUGGCGAAGGCGGCUUUCUGGUCUGUAACUGACGCUGAGGCGCGAAAGCGUGGGGAGCAAACAGGAUUAGAUACCCUGGUAGUCCACGCCGUAAACGAUGAGUGCUAAGUGUUAGGGGGUUUCCGCCCCUUAGUGCUGCAGCUAACGCAUUAAGCACUCCGCCUGGGGAGUACGGCCGCAAGGCUGAAACUCAAAGGAAUUGACGG